rnacentral:ncRNA from 1 species
UGUUGUUUGCGUGAGGGAUUGAGGCGGUAUCCUUUUUUGAGGCACGAAAAAAAGAUAUAGCCGAAAGCCCGACUUGAG